GAUGAACGCUGGCGGCGUGCCUAACACAUGCAAGUCGAGCGAACAGACGAGGAGCUUGCUCCUCUGACGUUAGCGGCGGAAGGGUGAGUAACACGUGGAUAACCUACCUAUAAGACUGGGAUAACUUCGGGAAACCGAAGCUAAUACCGGAUAAUAUAUUCAACCGCAUGGUUCAAUAGUGAAAGACGGUUUUGCUGUCACUUAUAGAUGGAUCCGCGCGGCAUUGGCUAGUUGGUAAGGUAACGGCUUACCAAGGCAACGAUGCGUUGCCGACCUGAGAGGGUGAUCGGCCACAGUGGGACUGAGACGCGGUCCAGGCUCCUACGGGAGGCAGAAGUAGGGAAUGUUCGGCGAUGGGCGGAAGCCUGACGGAGCGGCGCCGCGUGGGUGAUGAAGGUCUUCGGAUCGUAAGACUCUGUUAUUGGGGAAGAACAAAUGUGUAAGUGACUAUGCUCGUCUUGACGGUACCUAAUCAGAAAGCAACGGCUAACUACGUG
rnacentral:rRNA from 1 species